UGCCAGAGGUCUUGACUGGAACACAAGAGCCUCUUCCUCCCUACCCUGCCCAGGCUCUGUUGGAAGCCUUUUGCCUAUUAGUUCAUUCAGUGUCACCACGGCCUCUCAGCAGUUUCAGCCUGGACCUCACUGGAUGAGGGACUGGUCUAGAUCUUUAGUCAUGUUAGUUAAGAUGAGAGGUAACAUAGCUUAGCAGUUCAGAGAGGGUACUCAGGAGUUCUACUGCCUGAUGUUUGAAUCACGGUCUCCCUACUAGCUGCGUAAGCU
rnacentral:lncRNA from 1 species